UGCAUUCACUACUGUAAGUCGCUCUGAAUAAGAGCGUCAGCUAAAUGACUAAAA
rfam:Salmo salar isolate Sally breed double haploid chromosome ssa26, whole genome shotgun sequence.